CCACGCCGCCCGCCCCCACGCCCCCACGCCCCACGACGCCCACCCCCACACCACUAUGCCCCCACGUGCCACGACGCCACGCCCCACGACGUCCUCCCUCACGCCCCCACGCCGCCCGCCCCCACGCCCCACGCCCCACGCCCCACGCCGUCCGCCCCCAAGCCCCCACGCCCCACGACGCCAGUCCCUAUGACGCCACGCCCGGGCAGCUUUGCGGGAAGGCGGCAGAACCCUGCGGCUGCGGAUGGAGCUGGCCGGCGGGGACUCUAGGGGACCGUCAGCUUUCAAAGGAGCCCCCUCCAAACCAGUGUUUCUGAAGCCCGGGAACAGACGCUCCGUCCGCCAGCGCUCAGAGAGGCCGCGGUUGAACUCCAAUAGCAGGAGAGCGGCUUUGAGUCGGCCCGAGAGGACCCUGUUUCUGAUGACAACGUGCAGUGUUCCGGAAGUUCCACCGAGAUGCCGUCGGCAUUGCUUUGCCUCAGAGCCCAGCCUCCUGCCGGACGUGGUGCCACAGAGGUCCCGUGUGCCUUGCGGCUGGCGUCUCGUUGAGUCUGCUCCGAUGUGGUUACGUAUUCUCUGGCAUAAAUAAUACAUUGGAAACAGCAAUGACUCCUUUCUGCCCAGUGCAUGAGAUCUGAGAGACAACGUCAUGUACAUGUUCACUGGCCUCAGGAUCAGCCUAGUUCAGAUAUUAGCUCCGUCACAGAUUAGCUAUUGAAACCAUAUGACAUUUGAGUGACUUUCUUCAUCUUGCCGGGACUCAAUUUCUUUUCUUUUGUAAAGAAAAAUAAUAUAGUCCCUUUUUUCAGAAGAAACAAGAUAACAGUAAAGCAUGUAACCUAAACCUGUUAGAUAGUAAUUGUUGAGCAAAAUUUAGCUGUUGUUUUUCCUAAUUGUGGGGGAACUCCAAUUAUCAUAAAGUAUUAUUUUAUAUAUUCUCAAACACUUCAUACUGUAACUGUUUUUAUUAUAUAAUCAUCUUUGGUGGCAACAGUUAAAGCAAGCUUAUGUCACCUUCAGCAGGGUAACUCUUUAACUGGUAUGUCCUGGUGAAAAUUUUUCAUACAACUUCUAUGCAUUUUGCUUCACCCGUGAGUCAACAUAUCACUUUAAAUAUUUUUAAAGAAUCCUUAUUAAAAACUUGUUCACAAAGAUCUUGCAUAUUUGAAAAAGAAAGUGGUAGUGUAAAUACUUAUCUCUCAGAUUAAAUGGCUCUUCAGGCCUUCAGGUCUCCAGGUCUCACUAGUAAAGCUAAAGAAACGUAAUAAAGAAAUAAAAAUAGAUCA
rnacentral:lncRNA from 1 species